GCCCCCAGCCCUUCCAGGCGGCCGAGAACGCGCCUGCCCUGCCCGCCCCUUUCAGGGCCGCGGGAGCGCGCCUGUCGCGCCCCUGUCCCACCCCACGCCCUUCAGGGAGGGCCUGCAGCCCGCGCCCACAAGCCCGGCGCCUCAGGGCCGCACGAGCGGCUCCAGCGUUUCAAUUCUGCCGCCAUCUUUUGGGCAGCCAACUUCCCAGCCUGCCUCACGCUCAAGCAGAUUAGGCUCAGGCCGCCAAGAAACGGUGGGCGGGGCCGGCGGGAGGGGCGGGGCCUGUGGGAAGAAAAGCACCAAAAUCAUUUACGACAUCUGCUCCUCGCGACUAGAAGCAAGCCGCUACUAAAAUGUCUUCUUGACUGCAGUACCCGCUUCACUGAAAUCAAAACAACCCGAGGGCGCAGCUAACCCGCCCCCGGCCCCGCCCCGGCGCCCUCGUGACGUCAUCCCCCAGGGCCGCUCGGCGCCGCCGAUCACUUGGAGCCACGUGCGGCCGCCGGCGGGCUGCGUAGUGACGCAGGCGCGAGACUGUGCGGUGGCAGCCAUGGCGGACGGUUGAGAUGAGGCUGCUCCUGGGUCUCGCGGCUAUCCAAGACCAUUGAGGGUCCCCGGCGGCGCCUGCCGUCUGCUGAGGCUGGGUGGACUCCUCUGCGGCAGAUCUCCUGUAAGAUGUGCUGGUUAAGGCUUCUGGCAGAUUCGGGUCAGUCCCAAGUGCGACCGGUCUUCUGGGGCUGCCGUCCGCAGACCCUUCUCGCAUCCACGUACCUGGCGGCCUCCCUCAUCGCGUGCUGUUGGUAGGGGGGCGAGUCAGGCCCUGUACACGUCCUGACAGGCACCCGGCCCACCCCCAGCCAACUGUGCGCUGUGUUCCUGCCCCAGCACGAGACCUGUGGGGUGUCCGCGGCAGAAGAUGUCAGAGCUGGAAGAGACCUGAGAGGCGAUCCCUUGGUGGGUGAUGGGUUCUUCCGGGAAUCUGGUGGUUUGCGCGCCUUGUCGUCUGCUUCCAGAACAAGGAUCUUCGCUGUACGCCAAGACCCAGACCCCUCUGACAUCGGAAUGACAAGUGGGAUAUUUAAUAAAACAGUUUCAAAUUUGGAGUCAGUCCAGCCUCUGUUGUUUUCUCUUUUCUGUGUUAGCUGCAAAGGGGAAGAAGACCCCGCCCUUGAAGGAGUUUCAGCCAAGUGUGAGGCAUCCCUAGGGUGUCUCCCAUUUUGUUGCUUGUGUCUUUGUAAAGUGCCCAGUGGGUGAUAGAGCAUCAGGAUCUGUACCUUGGGAUCCCAGAGUGGGUUCCGGUGGUUUGACGGGGUCUCCGCCCCGUCCUCUUCAGUGUGGGUCACACUGGGUCACACACUAGAGUAUCCAGACCUCCGCCUGUGGGUUGAUGCCUUAAGAAUGCAUGACCCUCGUGGUCUAUUUUAUUAGACACUUGGAUAAUGCACCGAUGGGUUACACCCACAACUGGAGCCCGCACGUAUCAGUCUUGGUGACCUUUUUGAAGGAGCGUCCGCAGGCCAGGCUGAGGCUGACUCGAGCCAGAAAAGACAGCCCGUUGGUGUUCAGGCUGUGAGUGAUAGGAACGGAAAAGUCCCCAGAGGUCCCUGCACCCUGAGUCCCCGAAGCUACACCCUGAGGGGGCGGGAGGGGGGGGUAGAGCCUCACACCUCAGAACCACCGGAUGCCAGGGGAAACCCUCCUGACAGCCUCACGGGCAGAGGAGGAAGAGAGGUCACAGCUCCUCAUGCUAUCAGAGUGAGUUGUGGCCUUCAUGGGUACGUGCUGCUCCAGGCGACCUUGGCGGGACAUUUUCCUGCUCGCCCAGCAGUUGGUGUGCCCUGAGAUGAGAUGAGG
rnacentral:lncRNA from 9 species